GUGUCAGCCGCCGCGGUAAUACGUAGGGCGCGAGCGUUGUCCGGAAUUAUUGGGCGUAAAGAGCUCGUAGGCGGCUUGUCGCGUCGGUUGUGAAAGCCCGGGGCUUAACCCCGGGUCUGCAGUCGAUACGGGCAGGCUAGAGUUCGGUAGGGGAGAUCGGAAUUCCUGGUGUAGCGGUGAAAUGCGCAGGUAUCAGGAGGAACACCGGUGGCGAAGGCGGAUCUCUGGGCCGAUACUGACGCUGAGGAGCGAAAGCGUGGGGAGCAACAGGAUUAGAAACCCCGGUAGUCC
rnacentral:rRNA from 1 species